UGAGGGAAUAUUGGGUCAAUGGGGCGGAAGCCUGAACCAGCCAAGUCGCGUGCGGGACGAAGGCCCUACGGGUCGCAGACCGCUUUUGCGCGGAGAUAACGGCCGCCUCUUGAGGCGGCGUGAAGGUACCGUGCGAAUAAGGAUCGGCUAACUCCGUGCCAGCAGCCGCGGUAAUACGGAGGAUCCGAGCGUUAUCCGGAUUCAUUGGGUUUAAAGGGUGCGCAGGCGGGCCUGCAAGCCCGCGGUGAAACCCCGGGGCUCAACCCCGGGCCUGCCGCGGGAACUGCCGGCCUUGAGUCGCGGCGAGGGCUGCGGAACGCGGGGUGUAGC
rnacentral:rRNA from 1 species